rnacentral:rRNA from 1 species
GGGGAAUAUUGGACAAUGGGCGCAAGCCUGAUCCAGCCAUGCCGCGUGAGUGAUGAAGGCCUUAGGGUUGUAAAGCUCUUUCAGUGGGGAAGAUAAUGACGGUACCCACAGAAGAAGCCCCGGCUAACUUCGUGCCAGCAGCCGCGGUAAUACGAAGGGGGCUAGCGUUGUUCGGAUUUACUGGGCGUAAAGCGCACGUAGGCGGAUUGGUCAGUUAGGGGUGAAAUCCCAGAGCUCAACUCUGGAACUGCCCUUAAUACUGCCAGUCUAGAGUCCGGAAGAGGUAAGUGGAACUCCUAGUGUAGAGGUAGAAUUCGUAGAUAUUAGGAAGAACACCAGUGGCGAAGGCGGCUUACUGGUCCGGUACUGACGCUGAGGUGCGAAAGCGUGGGGAGCAAAC